AGAAGCCUGGGAAACGGAGGCCACGCCGGGCAGGAGCCGAGCUCGGUUUCACCGCCCCCAGCGGACCGACCGCCCCGCCUCCCAGGACCCCGAGACCCCGGACCCCGGCCCGCCCUACAAGCAGGAGCUUUGGCGGCGCGCCCGGCUGCAGCCGUCGGCCUCUGUCGCCCCCUCCCGGAGCGGAGGAGUCACGGCGGGAAACAGCCCGAAGCCGGCGGGGCCCCGAGGGGGUCCGCGCUGCCUGCCCGGGGACCCCUUUUCUUGGCAGAGAGGAUACUGACAUCGGUCUGGAGGCCGUACGUCAGUCCCGGGGAUGUCGGGAUCAGCCUUGGAGGAUGCCCUCGAUCUUUAUCCUUUCCUAUGUCCCCAGUCCCUGGCAAAAGGUAGUAGACCCAGGGGAAGGAUGCAGGAAGCGAGGAAAGGAAUUCCCAUGCCAUGAGCACCAUCCUAGAGGUGUUGACACACAAACACGCGCGUGCACACAAAUCCUCUAAGGUAACCACAACAACAGAACCUAUGAGCCAUUUGUGAAUACGCCGGCACUCGGAAGUGCUGUGGACACACUCCUACUCCACCCCUGACUCACUGCGCCUGCCUCUCAGACAAGGACCCAUGCCUCCCUUCAGUCCUCUCUGAAGUGGGGACCGUACUGGCAUCUGCCUCAUUUAGUAGCUGUGAGGAUUAAAUGUGGUUGAACCCGUAAACUCGCUUGAACAGCACCUGGCAUUGAAAGGAUUGUAGCUGGCACCCUCCUCCUCAUCUUCCUCAUUCAAUCAGUUAGGAAUGCAUUCAGCUGCAAGCUCAGGAAACGCAACCGACAGUUGCCUAGAUGUGCAGGUGUGUUUUUCUCCCAUAACAAGGAGUUCAGAAGUCGCCUGUCAGCCUGGGAGCACAGCUCAGCGAUGCGUCAGGACACUGGGCUUUCUUUCCAUCCCCAAUCCUCACCAUCCUAUUGCUGGUCUCCUCCUGGUUGCCAGAUACUUGCUGUAGCUGCAGAUCUCAGAUUCAAGAUCCAGGCAGGAAGAAGGGAGAAAGGACAGGAGGUAAAGGGCUUUCUCCUAGUAAGGGUUUCCUGUUUAUUCUGGAAGGGACAGGAACCUCUUGCACUUCGAUUGUCCAGAAGUGUCCAUGCAGGUUAUCUUCACUGCAAGGGAGGCUGGAAAAUGCCUAUUUUUAGUUGAAGUCCUUGCUCCUCUACCUGGAGUUAGGGUUCUGUUAGCAUACGAGGGACAUGGUUAUUGAGUAGACAACUAACGGGACCUGCCAGUGUGCUGUUGCAUGGUCUACCUAACCUCCACUCUGGAGACAGAGAAAUCAGUGCCCAGUAACGCUGGAAAUCUUGCCCAAGGUCACACAGCUAGUGGGUGUGACAUCCCAGUCUCCUGAUUCUAAGUAUUAAUGUUCUGUAAAUCAAUGACUUGACAUUGAUUGUUGAGGCAUUUUUAUGGCAUUGGUUUUGAAGCACUGAUGUUAAUUUAUGAAGCGUAUUUAUAAUAACUGCUUUAAAAUUCUUACCAGAUAAUUCUACCAUCUGAUGC
rnacentral:lncRNA from 1 species